UGAGGGCUCACUUCCUGGCUUGCAGGCUUCAAGAGACAGAGGGAACUCCGGUUUCUCCUCAGAAGGCUAACCCCAUCACAAGAGCUCCAGGUACUCAUUGAACCUAGAGCCCAUGGGUUCAGCUCGGCGGCUGGCCAAGGAGCUUUGGGAUCUUCCUCUCUCUUCCCCACCCUAGAGCUGGGAUUAGACUUCUGAAGCUGCACAUCUUUCUCAGCCUCCGCUCCAUCGAUAACUACUCCUGGCCGCGUGAGAGACACUUGCCUGGCAGUUCCUGAGAGAUUCACAGCGCGCCACCUGUAUACCCC